UGGGGAAUAUUGGACAAUGGGCGCAAGCCUGAUCCAGCAACGCCGCGUGGAGGACGAAGGCCUUAGGGUCGUAAAGCUCUUUCAACGGUGAAGAUGAUGACGGUAGCCGUAGAAGAAGCCCCGGCUAACUCCGUGCCAGCAGCCGCGGUAAUACGGAGGGGGUUAGCGUUGUUCGGAAUUACUGGGCGUAAAGCGCACGUAGGCGGACCAGAAAGUUGGGGGUGAAAUCCCGGGGGCUCAACCCCGGAACUGCCUCCAAAACUAUUGGUCUAGAGUUCGAGAGAGGUGAGUGGAAUUCCAAGUGUAGAGGUGAAAUUCGUAGAUAUUUGGAGGAACACCAGUGGCGAAGGCGGCUCACUGGCUCGAUACUGACGCUGAGGUGCGAAAGUGUGGGGAGCAAACAGGAUUAGAUACCCUGGUAGUCCACACCGUAAAACGAUGAAUGCCAGUCGUCGGGUAGCAUGCUAUUCGGUGACACACCUAACGGAUUAAGCAUUCCGCCUGGGGAGUACGGUCGCAAGAUUAAAACUC
rnacentral:rRNA from 1 species